AAUAGGGGAACAGAACAUGAGUGAGGGAGAUAGAGAGAAAGGAGUAGGAUAGAAAGAAAGAAAUAAAUAGAAAGGAAAGGAAACAAAAGAAAAAAAGACACUGGGAGAAAGAAAAGGAUAUGUGAGAAUGAAAAUAGAGAGGGAAGAAGAGGAAAGAAAAGGGGUAGAAGAAAGAGAAGGGAAGGCAUGAUUACAAAGAUUAGUUUCGGAGAAUUAGAUUUGGGAUUCAAAGGAACAUGUAUCUAUACAAUAGCUUGAAAUCCAGUCUUGCAGGUUAUUAAACACAAGAACUAUGAAGAUUAGUGAUCGAAAGCAAUUAGAGUUAGUUGGAGUUUUGUAUAUGUAAGAUCAUUAUUCCGGAAGUGAGUAUUCUUAGUGAUCUUGAGUUGGAUUUAUCCUUAUACCGAAAUGAGAAGUCAAUUCCAUUAUCAAAGUGUCGAUUUUAUUUUUUCUAUUCGUUUAUUUUUAUUUUUACUCACACCUCGGAUUUCGGGAAAUAUUUAAAAAAAAAUUUGACCCGGAUUAGGGGCGUGACACACCACCCCAGGC